GGGCCGCUAGCUCAGUUUGGGAGAGCGCAUCGUUCGCAACGAUGAGGUCGUGGGUUCGAGCCCCAUGCGGUCCACCA
rnacentral:tRNA from 1 species